UACAGGGGGUGCAAACGUUGCUCGGAAUCAUUGGGCGUAAAGCGCACGUAGGCGGUUCGUUAUGUCGGAUGUGAAAGCCCUUGGCUUAACCGAGGAAGUGCAUCCGAAACUGGCGAGCUAGAGUACGAAAGAGGAUCGCGGAAUUCCCGGUGUAGAGGUGAAAUUCGUAGAUAUCGGGAGGAACACCAGAGGUGAAGACGGGUUGCUGGGCCGACACUGACGCUGACAGCGCGAAAGCCAGGGGAGGCAAACGGGG
rnacentral:rRNA from 1 species